rnacentral:rRNA from 1 species
AGUGAACGCUGGCGGUAGGCCUAACACAUGCAAGUCGAACGGCAGCACAGUAAGAGCUUGCUCUUACGGGUGGCGAGUGGCGGACGGGUGAGGAAUACAUCGGAAUCUACUUUUUCGUGGGGGAUCACGUAGGGAAACUUACGCUAAUACCGCAUACGACCUACGGGUGAAAGCAGGGGAUCUUCGGACCUUGCGCGAUUGAAUGAGCCGCUGUCGGAUUAGCUAGUUGGGGGGGUAAAGGCCCACCAAGGCGACGAUCCGUAGCUGGUCUGAGAGGAUGAUCGGCCACACUGGAACUGAGACACGGUCCAGACGCCUACGGGAGGCAGCAGUGGGGAAUAUUGGACAAUGGGGGCAAGCCUGAUCCAGCCAUACCGCGUGGGUGAAGAAGGCCUUCGGGUUGUAAAGCCCUUUUGUUGGGAAAGAAAAGCAGCAGGUUAAUACCCCGCUGUUCUGACGGUACCCAAAGAAUAAGCACCGGCUAACUUCGUG